UACGUAGGGUGCGAGCGUUACUCGGAAUUACUGGGCGUAAAGCGUGCGCAGGCGGUUUUGUAAGACAGAGGUGAAAUCCCCGGGCUCAACCUGGGAACUGCCUUUGUGACUGCAAGGCUUGAGUGCGGCAGAGGGGGAUGGAAUUCCGCGUGUAGCAGUGAAAUGCGUAGAUAUGCGGAGGAACACCGAUGGCGAAGGCAAUCCCCUGGGCCUGCACUGACGCUCAUGCACGAAAGCGUGGGGAGCAAACAGG
rnacentral:rRNA from 1 species